AUUGAACGCUGGCGGGAUGCCUUACACAUGCCAGUCGAACGGCAGCACGGGUGCUUGCACCUGGUGGCGAGUGGCGAACGGGUGAGUAAUACAUCGGAACAUGUCCUGUAGUGGGGGAUAGCCCGGCGAAAGCCGGAUUAAUACCGCAUACGAUCUACGGAUGAAAGCGGGGGACCUUCGGGCCUCGCGCUAUAGGGUUGGCCGAUGGCUGAUUAGCUAGUUGGUGGGGUAAAGGCCUACCAAGGCGACGAUCAGUAGCUGGUCUGAGAGGACGACCAGCCACACUGGGACUGAGACACGGCCCAGACUCCUACGGGAGGCAGCAGUGGGGAAUUUUGGACAAUGGGCGAAAGCCUGAUCCAGCAAUGCCGCGUGUGUGAAGAAGGCCUUCGGGUUGUAAAGCACUUUUGUCCGGAAAGAAAUCCUUGGCCCUAAUACGGUCGGGGGAUGACGGUACCGGAAGAAUAAGCACCGGCUAACUACGUG
rnacentral:rRNA from 1 species